rnacentral:rRNA from 1 species
AUUGAACGCUGGCGGCAGGCUUAACACAUGCAAGUCGAGCGGUAACAUAAAGAAGCUUGCUUCUUUGAUGACGAGUGGCGGACGGGUGAGUAAUGCUUGGGAAUCUAGCUUAUGGAGGGGGAUAACUACGGGAAACUGUAGCUAAUACCGCGUAAUAUCGAGAGAUUAAAGUGUGGGACCUUCGGGCCACAUGCCAUAAGAUGAGCCCAAGUGGGAUUAGGUAGUUGGUGAGGUAAAGGCUCACCAAGCCGACGAUCUCUAGCUGGUCUGAGAGGAUGACCAGCCACACUGGGACUGAGACACGGCCCAGACUCCUACGGGAGGCAGCAGUGGGGAAUAUUGCGCAAUGGGGGCAACCCUGACGCAGCCAUGCCGCGUGAAUGAAGAAGGCCUUCGGGUUGUAAAGUUCUUUCGGUAGUGAGGAAGGCAUUUAGUUUAAUAGACUAGGUGAUUGACGUUAACUACAGAAGAAGCACCGGCUAACUCCGUGCCAGCAGCCGCGGUAAUACGGAGGGUGCGAGCGUUAAUCGGAAUAACUGGGCGUAAAGGGCACGCAGGCGGUGACUUAAGUGAGGUGUGAAAGCCCCGGGCUUAACCUGGGAAUUGCAUUUCAUACUGGGUCGCUAGAGUACUUUAGGGAGGGGUAGAAUUCCACGUGUAGCGGUGAAAUGCGUAGAGAUGUGGAGGAAUACCGAAGGCGAAGGCAGCCCCUUGGGAAUGUACUGACGCUCAUGUGCGAAAGCGUGGGGAGCAAACAGG